CUGUGAGGGGGGUAAAAAAAAUUACUCGCUUAAAUUAUAUUAAGCCUUAAUUUUCUGCAUAAUUAAGGGCGUGGCCACUUGAUUGACAGGUGUAUUGCCGCUGCUUUCACAGCUGUCGAGCUACGUGGGCGGGACUUCAGCAACCAGCUCCCGUCUUUUUUGCCCAUCUUCGAAUGUCCGGGAGAGUCGCGUGGUGACGUGCUGCCAAGAUGGCGACGGCCCGCUCUGCACACUUUAAGCUUCAAAAACGCUCUUCAGGAGUCUACGGGUGAUGUCACGGACACUACGUCCAUGUUUUUAUACAGUCUAUAGUUUAGACCUGGAAAAGGCCACUGCAGUACUGCCACCUGAGAAUUGCUGGGGGUUUUUUUCCCCCUGAUGGCAUUUCGAAGAAGAGAGCUAUCAGUAGACCUUUCAAGUAAAUAUUCAAUCUCCUCCGCUGACCAAUUCAUAAGACAAAAACAUACAGAUGUUUGUAGGACAUUUGUAAACAUGUGCAUAAUGCAUAUGUUUGAAACUGAGAAGAUAGUCAAGCCUCAAGCAUUUACAUAUUAACUUUUUUUCCUAUUAAUUAGAUUAAUUCGGACCUACACCACACAUUUUAGUCUGAUUAAAAUUACAUUCACAUUGAUUUAGGUGUUUACAGGAAGGCUUGACAGUCCAACUGAGCCUUUAAGAACUGGCAUCUUGACAACACUAUCACAGCCAACAGGGAGUGCUUUCAAAACUUUAGCCAGAAAGGAACAUUGAUGUCGAAAAACCAUUAUAAUGAGUUUUGAAUGCUGGUGUUUUACAGCUAGUUUAACCAGCAAGUCUCUUUUGUUCUGCCAGCUUUGUCAACUCUAUACUGACAUUUUUAACAGGAAUCUUUGAGAAAUCGAAUAUAUCCAAGCUGAUGUAUGAUUGUUUGGUUAACAAACCUGUGUGGUUAGAAAGGUGGUUCAAAUCCAGCAAAGUUUUAUCCAUGUAACAUCAGCAAUGUCAUUGCUGUGAACUAACUAUGAAUCUCAGAACCUGAACUUGUAAGAACUGCACUGAAAGACACUAUGGAGAGAAGCAGCUACAUAACACCAAAUGUGCUUUAUGUAAUGGUCUUUUUUUUUAUUAUUUUUAUUUUUUAUAUUUUAUGAUUGUUACUGGCUGCUGUUUGCUAGUGUUAAUCAUCUGAAUCAUGUUUUAGUCACAUUCCACAAACACAUUUGUGUUAGAUUUCAGAUGUUUGUUACUUCCAUUGAAUGUCUAGAUUGGUGGAAUGUCCUGAGGGUAUUUUUAUUAUUAUUAUCAUUAUGAUUAAUAUUAUUUUUGAUAAAUCUGUUAAGUGUCACAUUCUGCCAUUUGAGAUGUUGAUUAGGUUUUUUUUACUGCCAAGCCUGUGCAUUUCACAUGAGGAGGACUAUGAAGACCUGGGGUGCGUUUAAGAAUUUUAUCACUGUGUGAUGGAAAUGAUCUCCUGCACUUGAACAGUUUAUCAGAGCCGUUUCUAGAGUCACCUGUUCAAAGAGCUUCUUAACGUCCUACUGACCACUGAAGUAUGAAGUUCUUACAAGAGCAAUAGGAUUUAAAAAUGUCAUCAUGGUGCCUAUUUUUGUAAUGGACAUUAUAUAAGAAAUAAAUCUUAUUUUUUUGGAGUUGU